GGCGGAACGCUGCGCUCAGGGCUGGAACACAACCAUGGGCUUUACCCAUCCACUGCACAGCAGGCUAAAACCUUGGGUGCGGGCAAGGGCUUGCGUCAGGCGUUUCUGGCCCCUGCUGAACAAAGAAUGAGGGGAGGAAAAUAGAUGAGAUCCUGAUCUGCUUAAAUCCUCAUUUGGAAUCAAAUGUGUGGUGACAAGGGAGAGAGCUGAGCUUUGUCUCCAUUUUACAUAACUCUGCAGAAUUUAUCACACCUUGGCUUCUAGGUGGUUGCAGUAAUGGCAAGAGAUUGUCCCAAGGCAUAUUUGAAAUGAAGACAUCUGAAAGUUGAAGAUUCACCUGCUGUUUUUCAGUACAGACAGAGGAUGCAGCUCUGUGACCGUCCUUACCAGAUCUGUGCACUGCUGGAUCUGUUGACUUUACACAAAAAGCCAGCAGAUACAGCUGCAGCAGGCUGCCUCUUUUGGUGCAUUUUGAUAAUUACAGUAUCAUCCUAUAAAUAGCAUUUUCCUGACUUGUCACCUGAAGUCCCGUGCUGCCCUGAGUCCCAGCCCUACCCCUUCCCUUUGUGGGCCGUCUUUGUUACACCCAGGCUCUGUUAUUAAUGACCUCUGUGGGAUGAAUUUCUCUUUUCCGUGCUUAGUCACCGACAUCUGUUUCCCUGGAACAAUGCAGCACGUGAUGGUGCUGACAUCAUAGCUUUGCACGACUGCCCCCAUAGUCACUCCUCAAACCGCAACAGCAGCAGAGUACCAAAGAUGGGAAAGUUAUUUCUGCUGCAGGCAGUGAUGGAAAGGUUACCGUGUAGCUAAAGGUUCGGCAAGGGCACUGUCUGCAUCACUUGCUUCUCUCUUGGGUUCCAAAAAUGCACAUUUCCAUCCUGUGCAGAGGCAGCAUCUGCGAGGAGAGCCAGGAUGAUGCACAGAGGGGAAAAUCUGCAGUACAGGGAGGACCUGAGGACUUUCCUUUGAGCAAGAAAAGACAAUGCUGGGAUUAUCCCUGUGGAUCAUAGCCUUUGCCUGCUGAGGAAGAUACAUUGAGAUGUGCCAUCUAACAUAUAAGAGUGCUAAUUUCAUAGGGAGUUACAGAGCUUUAACAGGUGCCAUGGGAACAGGCAGUUCUGUUCCUGCCAACACCAGGACUCUCCUGUCUGCAGAGUGAGCUGGUGCACAAAGCUAAACCAGCAAAAGGUAGUGCUGGAAAAGGCAGCAAGCAGAAGGUUUAACUCCAUGAAAACCAGCUUGGAGAGGGAUAAAAACAAGGGUUAGCACUGAAUGGAGAAGAGGGGAAGGGGCAGAAGUGCCCCUUUAAGGAAGGGCUGUUCAAUUUAGCAGUGCAAAACUGCAGUUUAAAAAGCCUUGUCCUUGUAAUGCCAAGCAGAAAUCCCCCUGCAUUGGAACACUGGAGGAAAAGCAUCAAAAGUCAGGAGGAGAUUCGGGAGAUGACAAUCCCUCUUUAGGACAUUCCUGUGUUAUCUAAGGCUGUUACCAGCAAAAAUUUUGGUCACACGCUCUUCUAUUCUCAUGGAUUUCUCAUGUGAGGGUCAUGAGCAAGCAGAUUUGUUUCCUACCCAGUUUCUCCAAGUUUUAUGUAAACAGGCAGUACUGUUUCUCCUUUGGCUUGAGGUUGUCCGAAGACCACCAGACUUAAUAUUAUUGCUGCUGGCUAGCCCAGUAGCGUCCACCUUCCUGCAGUUCUGGUUGUUGGGAGCCACACAAGCUGGCUGAAAUCCUUGUAGUUUAUUAAUCAAGGUAACUAAGGAAAUACAGUUACUGUUUGGAAGUGAGAAGGUCAUGAGGCAGAGGAAGAUGAAAUGAAAGUUGAAACAAAGUCUCAUAUACCAUUAAUGUCUGCUUGUUGAAAACAGUUGACAAGGAAUAACUCUUUGCUGUCUCUUCCAAAUUAAAAAAAAAAAAGUAAUCAAAUGAAACUAAUGGAGUCCAAGUCAAAAGGUACAAAAAGAGGUGGUUCCUCACCAACUGAUAGUAGACCUCUAGCAUAACUUGCUGCAGGAUGCUCAGGAUACAAGAAGUUUAUAUGGCCUCACCCUAGAGAUAGUUUUAAACCAGGGAGGAGGAGGAAACAGGGAAAAAAGGAGUGAGAGAGGGAAAAUAGAGACUCCAGUUCAGAGACUGUCUAGCACUGCUGAAGACCCUCCACAAAACCUGCUGUUCCACAGAUCCACAGUGAAGCUGCUGUAAGCCUUGGAGCCAGAGACUCAGCACUUUGCCCAGUCCUACAAGACUUCUUGAAUGAAAGCAGAAGUGUAGCUGGCAUCCUCUCCUGCUGCUGGCAUUGAAUGGCAAGGAGGGGAAGCAACUGGCACAGGCUAUUCUGGACAGCAGAAAGCUGGAACACAAAGAGCCUGGCAGAAUUUCUCCUGUCACAUUGAGUUACAAGCCCUUGGAAUAGGAUAAAGGCUCCUUUUUCUUCCCUGGGGACUGUUCCUUUUGAAUGGUGACUCCCACCCCUCCUCAUCUGUUGCUGGGAGGGUGUCUCCUGGAAGCUCAGAAACCUUUUCUUCAGGCUAGGCUGAAUUCAUGUUACAAGGCUGGCCUGAUCAUCCUCUGCUGCUCUGGACUGUGCUGCUGAGAGGAAGGAAAAUGAACUCCCUGUCUGGUGAAAAAUGCUCUCCAUGACCCUAACUCUGCUGUCUGAAAUGGAAAUAUGGACAUAAAGCACUGGCUCUGGCAGGCAGCUUCAUGGAAGAGGAGUGACUCGGGCAAAAUACUGAUGGGCUCUGCACUCAAAGUAUAACACACUGACCAAACUCUACACACAGGGAAACUUGAAGUGUUCCUGACAGCUGCACUGGGCUUCAAUCCCAUUUUGGGUUGGGUUGUUGGUUUUUUGGGGUUUUUUUCUCCCAAAGCUAGAACAAAAAAGGAAGAAAAACAAAACAAAGAAGAGCAUUAAAAAAUUCAUUCCCUAUUUAAAGAAAAUACAAUUUUAAGGGUUUUUUUUUGUUUUGUUUUACCAAAUCCUUUUCACAUUCAAUGAAGAAAAGGGUGGUUUUAUGCUUAAACUGACAUCCCUAAUUUCAAAGGUAAAAGUAGCCAUGGCUAUGUAUUAGCCAGGUGCUUCAUGAUCUAGUAGACAGGCUCCACACUCUAGUAGACAGGUAGGUACACAGAUGAAAAUUCAGGCAAGAUCUGCCUUGGGUGGCUAUGAAGCACCAGCCACAAGAUGGUAUCACAGAAGCUUCUGAAAGAGGGAAUAAAGACCCUCACCAAAUGAUUAUGCUCUGCUUUUGUUAAGCAUGUUUUUAACUUCAGCAGCUAAAUAACAUACUGGCUCACAGCUGCUUUAUUUAAAGUUUCAUUGAUCUUACUCUGUUGGGAGCUUAUAAUGAAUACCAGAUCCCAUAUCCCUUAUAUUUUCUAUGGAGACAGGCAGAAGGAAAACACUUAAAACAAGGCAAGCUUUCUUUGAGAAGCAGGGGAGGGUGGGAAUCCCCCUCAAGCAGUAAUAUUCCUCUGCUCCCUCACCAGACUAAAAAGGAGACACAUAAAAGUUAUUUAUAACUUUUUUUUUCUUGGUUAUGGAACACAAUAAAAUAAUAAAGAUCUUUUGGGCUUUAAAAAACAAAAAAAUCAUACUUUGUAAUUUUGAAAAUUUCAAAGGAAACUGCAUCAAGUGCCCAGAAGGGCAUCGUGUUUGGAGAAUUUAUUAACUCAGUCAUUAAGCUGGGUGGCAAAUCAUCUCCCCUAUGCCCUGAGAGAUCAUGUUUGGGUUGCAGUGUCACCCCUGACACUGCCGGAGAGAGACUGCAAAGAGUGAUUUCUCUUGCCCCAUUUACAUCCCUUCCUCACCCCCUAGGCUUCAGGUUAGCAAUAAGAUGCUGCUGGUGGGUUUGUGCUCCUGGGGGAAGGGCCCAAAUGCAACGGUGAUGGGCAUCCUCAGAAACUACAAAAAGUAACCCUAGGUGUAAAGUGAAGAUGACUUCAUACACAUGCAGAACAGAGGGAGAAGGAAAAAAAAAAAAACAUUUAAUCUCUCUGAAUCUCUCAUAAUUAUCUUUGCUAAUUGCAUGAGGAAGCUACAAGGCAUUAAUCCUUGCUUCUCAACUCACUGGGACCAGGACCAGCCCAUUAAUUGAUAAACUGACCAAAACAGCAACACACUUUGUUCUCUAUUGCAGUAAUAAGUGAGAAAACCCUAUUCCAGUGCCUCAGAUGAACAGCACCACAUGCCCCUGCACCCA